rnacentral:rRNA from 1 species
AUGAAGAGAAUACUAAUGAAAGAGAAGAGAUUUCCCAAUAUCUUUCUAUUUUUUCUUAUGAUGAAUCAGGUUACGAAAAUCCGAUGGCGUUGGCUUGCCGGAGAUGAAGAAGACAACCUGGUGAUGCGGUACUCGGGAGGUGGAAUUGGCAACGGAGGUGGCUCCAUAUGGAUGUCGCGGACCUCCCACUGGAUGGAAUCGAAGUGGGACGAUGUGCUUCGGUCGUCAACGGCGGCUGCGCGGGAUGCAGUAUGGUAUGGAUUGGGCAUCUCGAGGAUGGGCUCUCUUCGCAAGGCUCCUCCACGCCAUGGAGGUGUUUGA